rnacentral:rRNA from 1 species
CAGCAGCCGCGGUAAUACGAGGGGAGCUAGCGUUGUUCGGAAUUACUGGGCGUAAAGCGCGCGUAGGCGGCUUUUUAAGUCAGAGGUGAAAGCCCGGGGCUCAACCCCGGAAUUGCCUUUGAAACUGGAAAGCUAGAAUCUUGGAGAGGUCAGUGGAAUUCCGAGUGUAGAGGUGAAAUUCGUAGAUAUUCGGAAGAACACCAGUGGCGAAGGCGACUGACUGGACAAGUAUUGACGCUGAGGUGCGAAAGCGUGGGGAGCAAACAGGAUUAGAUACCCCUGUAGCCCUGUCUCUUAUACA